CGAACCCUAGAAAAAGAGGGGAAACUCAAUUUGGACAGAUUAAACGGUUGGAAUGGUGUAUUAAUCGGUGGAGAUGGAAGAUCGAAGGUUGGAAAGAUGUUUAAUCGGUCAAAAGGCCGAAUCAAUCGGUAGAAAUGGACGGAGAUGAUGAACGAAAGCUUUUAAUCGGUGUAAACCAAAAGGAAUGACGAAGGAUGAUGGUCUGUGAAGGAAAUGGAACUUACAGAGUAUGAAGAAUUCGAGCUAUGAUGAAGAUGCGCUUGGGAGGACGAAACCCUAGCAGAAGAUUUGUUUCGUAGUAGAGGGAGAUGCAAGUGAUGUGUGUUUGAUGUGCGAGAAUGAGAACGAAGCAUGGAUGAUGUGGUAGGCUUGUGAUGCGUACAUGAGACACUGAACAUGUGUCUGCAGAGCAAUGGAUCUCCGUGGAGGAUGACGUCGUGAUGAGAGAGAAAGCACAAUGGUAAAAAUGGAAAAUGGAAAAUGGAAGAAUGAGGUAGUGUGCUGGAAGGUGGCUAGAGGGAGUCUUUGGACUCUCUAGCCUAUGACUUUCAAGAGAGAAUGGUUUCUAUUUUAGAAAUCUCAAUUCUCAUUAAUCUCAAAAAGUGGGAAAUACAAUGAGGAGCUGGGUAUUUAUAGUGACCCAUGCUCCUUGCAAGCUACACUAUAGAUACAAUAAAAUGUAAAAUUAAGAAAAAAAGAACUAUGUCAGGGAGGAUUCCAUCAAGAUGUGCUCUUCUGACAUGAUUUUUACUAAAAUUGAAUUAAAAUUGUAUUAUUUUGAUGCAACUUCAAUCUAAUAUACAUUAAACUAAAAAUGCAUUAAACUUAAGUUGUGUUAUUUUGACAUAACUUCAACUUAAAAAUUCUACAUGCAUUAAAAUCGCAUAAUUCUUAUAUGAUUUUUUUUAUAAUUAAGUCAUGUCAAAAUGACACGAAGUUUUUUUUUUUUUUAAAUAUAUCAAUUUUGACAAUUUUUUUUAAAAAAAAUCCUAUACUAAUAUUAAAAAACCACUGAAAAGAUAAAUUCAAACCGUUAGAAAAAGGGUGUCAACAGGAUCCGUAAGGAUGAUACCCAAUCCUAAAAUUGUGUAUACAUGGUAAUAAAGGUACGGGUGGGAAAUCAAACUGAACUGCACUGCAUUACUAAAAAUUGUAUUGAACUAAAAAUUAGUUUGUGUAAACUAAAAUGCACUAAAAAAAACAGUUCAAACAAACUGAAUUGAACUGUUUUUUGUUUUAUCAAACUGUACAGAAUUGAACUAUACUAAAUUGUACUAAACUACACGAUAAACUGAACUGAACUACUAACUAUACUAAUUUUAAAUUGAAUUAUACUAAUUUUAACCAAGAACUGCACUAACUAUACAACACUAAGAACUUCAUAAAACUAAAGAAUCAGAAUCUAUGUUCAACAUAUGUUUCUGGAUGUUAUCAAAAGAUAUAACUCCAUUGGAAGACGUUAAACUUAUUUUUAUUUUCAGUAAAAAUAAAAAUAAUAAUAAACGAGUAUGAUAUAUAAUUAUGAAAAAGUAGAAUAUACAAAUAUAAAUAAAUACAAAUAACUAAGUUACAUGUUCUAUGAGAAAAAUAUAAUUU
rnacentral:lncRNA from 1 species